UAGGGAAUCUUCCACAAUGGACGCAAGUCUGAUGGAGCAACGCCGCGUGAGUGAAGAAGGUCUUCGGAUCGUAAAGCUCUGUUGUUGGUGAAGAAGGAUAGAGGCAGUAACUGGUCUUUAUUUGACGGUAAUCAACCAGAAAGUCACGGCUAACUACGUGCCAGCAGCCGCGGUAAUACGUAGGUGGCAAGCGUUGUCCGGAUUUAUUGGGCGUAAAGCGAGCGCAGGCGGAAUGAUAAGUCUGAUGUGAAAGCCCACGGCUCAACCGUGGAACUGCAUCGGAAACUGUCAUUCUUGAGUGCAGAAGAGGAGAGUGGAACUCCAUGUGUAGCGGUGGAACGCGUAGAUAUAUGGAAGAACACCAGUGGCGAAGGCGGCUCUCUGGUCUGCAACUGACGCUAAGGCUCGAAAGCAUGGGUAGCGAACAGGAUUAGAUACCCUUGGUAGUCCAUGCCGUAAACGA
rnacentral:rRNA from 1 species